UUUAAUAUGGCAGAUUAGUGUAAUGAAUUUAAGAUUCAUAAAUAAAAUUUAAUUAUUUUUAUUAAAA
rnacentral:tRNA from 1 species